CAAUUUCAAACAUUUCCUAUGUUUUGUCUCUCACUCUCUUCAUAUGAAAAAAACUCUGUGCUGUUAGCAAAUCUCAAAAGGGUUUCUUGCUCCAGUGUAAAGGAUCCGAAUUUAUAUGUCUAAUUGUCUCAUUAUGGCAUAAUUUUAUCUCUUUUUGCAGUAACUUUUUGUUAUGAUGAUGAUGUGUUUGGAUUUGAUAUAACUAAUAAUGCUGCUGAUGAUGAUGAUGGGGUCUAGUUUCUUUAUGAUCAUGAUCUUUGCAGCUCUCAUCAUGCCAUUGUGAUUGUGAAGAAACGAUAAAGUGUUCGUUUUCCAGUUUAAAGUGCAGGAGAGAGUUUUGUUGGUGUGAUGGAUGAAACAAAUGAGAUCAUCCUGCAGAAAUCAAAGAGAUUGACAUCUGUUGUGUGGAACUACUUUGAACGGGUGAGAAAGGCUGAUGUCUGCUACACUGUUUGCAUUCAGUGCAACAAGAAACUCAGCGGUUCAAGCAACAGCGGGAUGACUCAUCUCCGGAACCAUCUCAUGCGUUGUCUCAAAAGAACCAACCACGACAGUGUGUAUAUGAGUACAUGUCUCUCUUGGAUUUUGAUAUGCUCCCAAUAAUAAAUUCAGUUGCAAUUUUUUUUUUGUUGGCUGGGUUCUUAGCUUACAAGUUUUGUAAAAACUACUUAUUGAUGCAUAAUUACGAGCAUGGACAGUCUCACAUAUACAAGACUGUUUCAGAAAUGCAUGUUAGUUGAAUCGUGGUGUUUCUUGUUUGUAACGAAAGUGUAUUCAUAAACUUGUAUAAAUAAAAGUGUAUUCACAAGAAGCUUUUGUU